UUUUUCCUGAGUAUAUUUAAAGCAAGUUAUUCAGGGAUUUUUUUUGCUUAUCCUCUUAAAGCAUAGGUUUAAUUUUGAGUGCAUCUUUUAUUGUGAGAGGGCAAGCCUUUGAUCGAGUGACAUUUGCAUUUCAGUAUGGGGAAGGGCUUUACGUUCUCUUCACAUGCACCACCCUACUCCAUGUAUCUUCGUGGUUUGUGCUAGUCACUAUUUAAAACACUGGCUACCAAGUGCGGCUUUGUGGACAGAAUCUGUAUGUUCUGUGCAGCCAAAAAAACAAAAUAGAACAAGGGAAAAUUCAAAAUGAAUAGCUCCUUUGAAAGAAACAGUUUCCAUAGGACUGUUUUCAAUAAGAUGUACUCAGCUACAGAAUGCAAUGACAUCAUCUAAAAUAUAGCAAGUUCAGAUUGACCAUAUCUCAUCAUUUAUUUCUUUUGUAAAAGAGCAAAUGGAAUAUAUUUUUUAGGUGUUUCUUUGUGCAAGUGCCUCGCACAUCCUGUUCGGAUAGCAUUAGAAAUAAUAAUGAAACAAGCUGUAGGUAACGUUAUGAUUUCCAAAAAGUUCUUAAAUAUGAGGCCGUGAAAAUGUGUCCUUUGAAGGAUCAGCAAGCCUGUGGCAUUGUCUGUGAAAAUGGAAAGAAUUGAUAAGACCUCUGCAUGUAUGAUCUUUAUCAGGUUUGCAAUGAUUCCCAUUUUAUAAGGUAACAUAUUUUUAUCCUUGUUGCACAGGGAAAUGUUCUGUUUUCCUUCAGAAAGCUGGCAGAAAACCAUUUUCCAACCUUGUCUGCUUCAUUUAUCUACAUGUGGAUAUUAAAACUGUCUCAUCUCAAAGGCCCACAAACACCUUGUCAAUAAAGUAGUAAAUUAAACGCUGGCAUAAAAACAUUACCCAGGAAAAUUUCUCAUUUGCAGCCGACAGUGUUUGCCACUUUCAAGCUUAGAGAUUUCACAUUUGGUAAAUUUUAACCAACACAAGAUUUAAGCUUAUUGAGAAAUAAUUCGACAUUGAGUAAUGUCAUUCAUUUUAUUUUUUAAAGAAUUAUUUCAAUACAGUAUGUAUUUCCUAUCGGGGGAAAACACCAGCUGCAAUUGCUAGGUUUUACAGGGCAUUUUUAGGAGGGGUAAGUUUACAUUUUAUACAACUGUGUUCCUAUUCACUACCAAUCAAAGCUAAGUGAAAUAACAGUCACAAAUUUCACAACCAGAGAAUUUGUUUUGCCAUGUUAGACAUAAAAUAUUGGAGAGCCUUUCUGUGUUCUUCCAGCUUUUCCCCAUCACCUCAGUAAGGCAGCAUGUAGUCACUCUGAAAGAGGAGAUGUUUCUUUGGUAUUAAUACUGGGAAGAGGCUGUUUGCAAGCUUAUUUUCUUCUGUGUUAUGUUCAUGAGCAGGAAAAUAUAAUUUAUUUCUGCAUAUCUGCUAUCCUGGACAAAUCAAGGUGACAAUCCGUGGUUAGCUCUGUCAGGCCCUUUGUCCUAGCGCUGCUGUGAAUGGAAGUACAAUGGGAGCAAAGUGAAUAUAUAACAGUCCAGCUGCCUUGUUGUGACAGCCCUGUCCCUCCAUAGCAGUGUGUCAGCUCAUGUUUGUGUACCAGUAGCCAGUUCAUACGAUGACAAUGCAAAUUGUCUGAGAAGUCUCCUAGCAGACAACAAAUUAAGCUGGGGCUUGAGGUACAGGGAGGAGAGGAAUAGGGAGCUUGGACACAUGUCUUAGGAAAAUAAUGACCUGUAAAAGGUUAUAUUUUUGGUACAGUGAUUAUAUUCCAUCGCAGGAGCGUUAUCCCAAUUUUGGCAAGUGUCUCAAAGACGCAGGAAAUGAGGUUUCCAAACGGAAGUGGAAAGAGCUUGAGACCCCAUAUGAACAACAAUGCCAACCAACCAGAGCUUCCAGUGACUAAGCCACUACCCAAAGACUAUACAUGGACUGACCCUGGGCUCCAACCUCAUAGACAGGAGCCGAUCAUAACUGUCCUCUGAUAGGAUCUACCCAGCAGCUGACUGAAACAGAGGAAGAUACCUACAGCCAUACAUUGGACAGAGUUUGGGGACUUUUAUGGAAGAGUUGGAGAAGGCACUGUAGGGGAAAGGAACUCUAUGGGAAGACCAACUGACUCAACUAACCUGGAACCUUGGGGUUCUCAGAGAUUGAGCCACCAACCAAAGAGCAUAAAGGGGAUUGACCAAGACCCCCAGCACAUCUGCAGCAGAUAUGCAGCUCAGUCUUCAUGAGGUUCCCCAACAAGUAGAGGGGGGCUGUUCCUAAAGCUAGAGCUUGACUGUAGAAUUUGUUUCCCAACAGGGCUGCACUGCCUGGCCCCAGUGGGUAAGAAUGCACCUAAUCCUGCAGAGAGGGGAUAUGAGUGGAGGUUGCAGUGGGGGACUUUCAAUGGAGAAGGGAGGGGGAUGGUAGGAGGAACUUUGUGAGGGGAGCAAUGUUUGGGAUAUUAAUUAGUUAAUUAAUUAAAAGCUUUUUUUAUUUGUACUUGUUCAUAUUUUCAACUGGACAUUAGAAUCCUGGUUUUUCUGCUGAAUGAAUUAGUUGAUCACUGCAUGUCUUUAACUCUUUGUUCUUAUCUGCAAGACAGAAACAGUUAGAUGGAAAUAUAUAAAUCAUACAAUAUAAAAGUAUAAACUCUCAGCUGUGGUUACUAAAACACAAGCUAUCUACUCCAUUAUGGCAGUAUGUCUUUUCAACUUAAUUAUUAAUUUGUUGUAACCAGGUAAAUCAUUCUGAAAUUCAACUAAAAAGAUGCUAGUAAACUGAUCAUUGGAAGGGGGGGGAAUAGGAACAUAUUUUUCUCCCUAAAUUCGUACUCAUUGGUCAUAUCAACUUCUGUACUCCCUGGUGCCAGUCAUGUUUCAAAUAUUAGUGGGAUAGAUCCAAAGACCUCUGAGGUCCUCAUUAGGGGCCACUGAAGGGAAUAAAUGUUUCACAUGAAUAGCAUGGGCAUACUAGUGAAUAAUUGAUCUGGAAAUCUUUUUGUGUAUACUUCUUAGAAGUACGGAGUCAGACUAAGAGCACAGGUUGUCUAAUGGCUGUAGCAUGCUGCUUUCACCUAUAUUAUGUUGGUUAAAAAUAACGGAAGAAUAUUUUGACUUGACUUUCAGAAAUGCUAUAAGAAGUAAAAUCUGCAUACAUAAUUUAUAUAGGAAGGAAGAGAUCAGAGAUCAAUUGUGCUGAAAGGACCAGAUUGAGUCACAGUGUUAAUGUGAUGGGGCACAACAUACAGGGCUGGUUGGUGCUUUUAUUAGUGAGGGUAGCAUGGUAGCUGUUGAAUUUAACGUGAAAGACAGGAUGUUAUUUAAUGUUAAUCUAAUGUAUCUGUUGGAAUGAAUAAACAUUGAGUCUUUGAGUGAGUCUUAGCCAAAGUAAAAAUUGAACUGCAAAGCACA